GCGCGGCGGUGAGGCGGUCCCUCCCGCUCCGGUCUCGCUGAGGUGAGGGAUUUUUGCGCGGGCGCGCUCCCCCGCUGAAGUGACGGUGUGGGGCUGCGCGCACCGCGCUGGGGAGGUGCUGCUUGUGUAGGGCGGCUGGAGGUAGAGCCGAAGUGAGGCCAGCAGAGCUCCAAGCCAGUGACCUUUUCGCUCUGCACUGAAGAGCAUCUGCUGACUGUGAUCAGGUGGUGCUUAGCCACAGUGGCUUGUGGCUGCUCUGACUGUUGUGUGAGUCUCUUCACGGAUUAGAUCAGCUGACAGAAACAAGGAACCCACAUGGAAACCAGAAGGUGACUUUGCAACAAUGAGGUGCCUCACCCCCUCGCUGCUCAGAAGGUUCUGGGGACUUUUGCCUCAGUAUGUGCCAGCAGGACCUAGUCCAAGUCCUGUCAUCGGUCCCAAGCAGUCAUCUUUGAGGCAGAGCUGCAGUACAAGACCUGGGCCGGUGACUGCCCCUGCUGUGGCCAGGUACUGGCAAGAGGUGUUUGAGAAGAAUGGGAUCCCUGAAGCACGAGAAUCCAGUGAAUAUAUUGUGUCAUUUGUCUUGGGAGCAAAAACAUUUCAGAGCUUGGAUUCCGAAAAACUUCACACUCCUAUUACAGCAAUGCAGCAGGAACAGAUCCAGCAGCUGUGCUGCAAGCGACUAGAAAGAAUGCCAGUGCAGUAUGUGCUUGGUGAGUGGGACUUUCAGGACCUGACUUUGAAGAUGAGGCCUCCAGUAUUUAUUCCUCGUCCUGAAACAGAGGAUCUCAUCUCUUUUGUUGUGGAGGAAGAAUCUCGGAAAUGUGAGGAGAAGAAUUCAGCCUCCUCGGCUGCUGUCCCACCUCCUGUGAUCCUGGAGAUUGGCUGUGGCUCUGGAGCAAUUGCUCUGAGUCUCUUGUGCAAGAUACCACAGAGCCGGGUGAUAGCUGUGGAUAAAGAAGAGGCUGCUGUGGAUCUCACCAGGGAGAACGUCCAUAGGCUGCAACUUCAAGACAGGAUCCACAUCCUCCACCAUAACGUUUCAUAUGGUUCUGCCAAACAGCUGCUACCUUGGGGCCCAAUGGACUUCAUAGUCAGUAACCCUCCGUAUGUCUUCCAUGAAGACAUGGCUUCCCUGGAUGCAGAGAUCAUCCGCUAUGAGGACCUUGAUGCAUUGGAUGGGGGAGAUGAUGGGAUGAAAGUCAUCAAGACAAUUCUGACUUUGGCUCCUUCUCUUCUGAAGGAUUCUGGGAGUGUGUUUCUGGAAGUUGAUCCCAGACACCCAGAUAUGGUGGAGGAUUGGCUACGUGCACAUCCUGACUUGCUACUCACCCUUCAUGCUAUUCACAAGGACUUCUGUGGCAAACCUAGGUUUCUGCACAUCCAAAAGCAAAGCAGAUGACAGCUGUACCAGAGACAAUGUCCUUUCUUGCAGUAAGCUUUUUGCUGGUAAGGCUUUGAAAUGUGAGACUUUACAAAAGAGGCCAGAAUCACUGCUCCAGUUUCAGAGAUGGAGAAGUCAAAAAGCUAGCCAGAAAAGGAAAGAAAGAAACAAACCAAAGGAUCUGGACCAGUCCGAAUGGAAGCAUUUGCUGGGCCACGGGAGGUGAGCGUGGAAGGGAGAAGGGAGAAGUAGUGUCCAGGCAGUGACUUGUGCAGUCUGAGCGUGCAGGGAAUGUGCUGUCAGGCACUACGUCCAUGCUGAACUUAGAGUGCAUAGCCAGAAACAAUGGGUCCUGCAUCAGCAAAUAUGUCGUCUGUUUGGAGGGCCAAGGCAGAUUCAGAGGGCUAAUACAUCUAGUCCGUUUCCCCCUUGUCCUGUACUGCACUCAUUCACUUUCUAAUUUUUAAGCCUUGGCCCUGCUUUUUCACAGGUACCUGAACUUUUUCUGAUGCACCAGUGCCCAGCUCACUGCACUUCGAUCCUCUCCUCACCCUCUGUGUCUUUUUCAGUUCUGCUCAUACACUGGCCUUUUACCCCAUCCCACCACUCUGCUGGCCCCAGGAGUUUGCCUGUCCUGUACACUUUGUGCAUGAAGUGGUGAGCCCUCAUUGGACCGUGCUACCUGCUCUGGUUCAUCACAGUAGAGGAAAUGGAUGGAAAGGGAGAAAAAAAGUUCAUUUAGAAUGUACUUAAUCCUAGGUUUGGAAAUCAAGUUUCAGCCCAGCUGAUUCUGGCAAUGGUGAAUACGGUUUGUGGUCAGAGGUAUGCUGUGGUGGUUUGUUUCUUUUUAGUAAAUAAUAACAAUUAUACACUAGCGUCUUUAGCGAAGUUUGUCAGGCUUAGGUCUUUGAAUUUGAUUUCUGAAAUGUUUUGUCUUAGCAUUGACAGUAUUUAUGAAACCUAGAGCUAAGAAGCACAGCGUAUGUCUGCAGGAUACUUUAGAGGCUGGGUGAUGUGCUGGCUCAUGAGGGUAUUAAAGAGCACCAUGUUGCAUUUUUGUAGGGGAAGGCUGCUUCCAGCAGCAGGCUGGAGGUAGCUGCCCCUCUGAGAGCACUGCUGGCUGAGCUGCAGUGUGCAGCCACCUUUCGUCAUGGCAAGCACUUGUUGGAGCCCUGAGCUGUAGGCUUUCUCUGAGAGAUGGACUCUUGGUCUAAUCCAGUAGGACAAGUGUUAAAUUCCUAUAUUAUAGCAAAAACAAUAACAAAAAUGCUUGCAUUUCUCUGGGCUUGCACUGCAUAGCGAUUACGUGUCUCUGGAAAAUCACGUGGUGCUGCUGACCUUCUCAUAAAGACAAGAAUGAAGAAAAAUUGUUCUUCCUUCCAAGAGGCGGAAUUUGUCAGACCCGCAUCUGAGGGAAUGUGCUGCUGUAGUACAAUGUGUUCCUCAGUGCUCUGCACACAUUGGCCCGGGCUCCUUUUGGUACACAAGCACUGCAAAGCUCUUUGGAUGUGGUAGCUGCAAGAACCUCAGAUACUCCCAGAGCCCUUGCUAAAGUACCGACUGUGUCUGCUGCCUGUGCCUGUGAGCGUGAGGCUGUGCUGAUGCCAGCAAUCUCCUGUGCACGUCAGCUUUCUGCAGCCCUGCAGCUGCUCCCUUGAGGCACAGAAAGGCUGACGCUUUACAGAAUCACUAUCAAAACGCACUUAAUUUUCUGGCAUCUCAGUGAGUCUUUGGAACUGUAUUGAAACUGUUUUUUUUUUUUUCUGAAGUGAUGCUUUCAGAGGGGCCUUGUUUUCCUGCAGGACCUUGAAGAGUGUGAUUCAGGUGUGUAUUUCUGGAGAGUGACCUGGUGCAAAGUGCCUACCAGGAUCUUGCUGGCCUUCUGAGUUGGGGCUGGGGAAAGCUUGGUGUGUGGCAGAGCCCUGCAGAUGGUGCUGUGUUCCUAGCCAGCUGUGUCCAUGGGGAACAGGCUUUCUGAGUGCUGGUGCAUGGCAGGGCGCAGCCCCCAGCUCCACAGAGGACUCAGUGGAUAGGGCUGCAAAAUGGGGCUUUAACUCCAUUCCUGUGCUGCAGUACAGGGCUUGUGUUGGGAGGCUGGGAGGGGUCCUUGUGGCUGUGAUGCAGGACUGGAGUUGUAGCUGUGCUGGUAAUGGGAGGCCUGAAUCCCCCUCAGGGCUGCACUGAUCCAUAGUUUUGGACAGUCUGUUUUUGUUCUGGUGUAACUUGCAAGUGUACAUCCUGAAGUGCAAGUGCCACCCCUGCUUUCAUGUUCUACUCAGGAUGUGAAGUGAACGGACUUCCUAAAUACCUCAGAGAGUCUAAGAAAUGUGCAGCAGGGAUGAGACCCGUUUCCAGGUGCAGAGCUGGUGGUCGCAGGGGACACUCAGCCAAGGUGGCCCAGGAAGCCUGCAGGGAGCCAGAUGACUGAAUGCAUGUGGGUUAUGUGCCAGCACCCAGUUCUGUGAUAUGGGGCCAUAGAGUACAAUGGAUUGGAAGAGAGCUCACCAGUCAUCUAGCAUAAUUUCCUUGUCCAAGUGAGGAUCAACUUGGCUUACAUCAUUCAUGUUAGCCUAACUUGACCUAAAAGGCUCCUGGGGAUGAUUGGGAUUUUUGCACGCAGUCUGUUCUGAUGCUUCUUUGUUGUUACAGCAGGAAAGUUGUCCUUAGUGCCUCGUCAUCCUUGCUUCCAUUGAAGCUGGGUACUGCUUUUCUUGUCCUGAGGAGCAGAAUUUGCUCUUUCCUCAGAGCAGCUUCCCUGUAUUAGUCUGUUCCCAUGCUUCCUCACAGUCCUCAUUUCUGAGGAAACACCAACGUGGUGUUUUUGUGGAUCUCUUGCACACCCUUCCUUCCCUGCUGGAAAGAGGGACAGAGCAUCCUGAGCGGUAGUGUGCUUCAGAUGUGCUGCAGGGAGAUGCUUGUGCUUGUGGUGAUUGAAACAAUAGAGCAGCUGCAGCUUCUGUUAUUGUGGGGAGAAGUUAUUUCCCAAGCAGUGGAGACCAGGCCAAAACUUGCAUUAAUGUUUUGUUUGUCUGGGCAAGUUUUCAAAAGCUGUAUUUAAAGUUUUUGUUUAGAAACUUGUUUUCUUUUGCUCAGGGUUGCAUCCAGAGGGACAAACACUCAGUGGGAGAAGGCUUCUUUCUCACAGUUGAGAUGGUGAUGAGAUACCAAGAGAGACUUUGUCAAGUUUCUCCAGCCUACUGCCUUUUCCACAAAUGUUUUAAUGUGCUUUUAGUUAAGUGUGUGGGCUUUAAGAUGUUCUCCCUCCCUGUGGAGGGUCAUCUUACAGCCUUUCUCUGCUGCUUUUGCCUGGCAGCUGCUCACAAGGCUCAGCAUGAUCUGUACAGUGCCUGGUGAGGACAGCAGGCUAUUUACAUAGUACUAUCCCUUUGCACUGGUUUCGUGGCCAAAUCACACUUGUCAUUCAGUUGCUGAGAUUUGGGACAGGUUGCAUAAGCUACUGUAACAUCAAGGAUGUUCUAACAGCAUGCAGUAGUUGCAGAAUCAGACCUGUAACCAGCUCUCUUGCCUUGUGGUUGCCUUUUUAUGCCAGUUGAGCUGAGGAUGACAAGCCCAGGGUUCAGAGCCUGCACCUAACUGUUGCCAGCGUUUGCACCUCAGACUGCUCCUGUAGUUGUGCCUGUGAGCAGGAGGUGGUGCCUUGCAGGAUGCUGACCUGUGUGGUCUCUGCCCCUUGCCAGUUUGGUAUCACCCGUUACUACCGUGGUGAAUCUGGCAGACCAGCCUUCUGAAGGCAGAAUAAGUGUAUGAGCGGUUUGCCAGAUUGCCCGCUCACUUCAGUUUGUGUUUUUGAUCCCUUCUGAAGAAGGUGCGUAUGGAUCGUGUUAGCCUCAAGGUAGAAAGAAUGGAAAAGAAUGGAGCAGGCUGAGGAGCAUGCUGGUAGUGAGUGAUGAGAUCACUCUGAUCUUGUGCUCUGUGCACGCAGCUCCAGGGCUGGACCUGUGCUCAGACCUUUGGGCAAAAUGGUUUGUGCAAAUGUAUUGGGAGCACUUGCAAAAUCAAUUGUAUUUAAGGGAUUGCCUCUUUGAGUAAACUGCUUUAAGUUGCUUUCUCUUACACCAGAAGAAAGAGAAAUCCAUGUGCUGGAGGAUUUCAGUGCAGGGACAGAGGCAAGUUGAGAGGACAGAUGUGGAGGAACCUGGUGCCAUCUGUUCUUGCCCGCGAGCAAGGCUCAAGUAAUCCCAGCUCUGCCCAAAUACAGGUGUUGCCUGCAUUCUCUUCUGUCUGCUGUUCCCUGGUCAGAGGCACACAAACUGUUGUUCCACUCUGCUCCCUUUGGGAAGUGUAACACCAUUUGCUAGAAACUUGCGGCUGGUUUGGGCCUAUGCUGGGAUUUGCCAGACCUGGAUUGGGAUUCCUGCUGUGUGACCUUGGGCGCAUUAUUGCUUACUCUGCCUCCUGCUGCUAUGGUUGGGAUAAAUAUCACUUUAUGAUCUCAGAAUAUUUUAAGAGUGCCUCAUAUAGUGAGUGUGAGGUAGUCGGUUACUGUAGAAAGGUCUGUGACUGUCCUGUGGUAUUCAUCUCAAUCAUACCCAGACAGAGAAUGAGCCAACAGCACCAUGCUACAGCAUGACAGAUCAGGUUUGUUUUGCUUAUUUUCAGUGAUUCAGUUAUUGUUGUGCAAAACCAAAGGAUAUGGGAGUAAGUCAAAGUACCGUUGCUAGAUUUUCCACAAGCGUGUCUCUGAGCACGAUGAGAGCAUGACCCAGGCAAACCAGCCUGCUGCAGGGUGCUGAGAAAGUUAGGACUGCAUCCUGUUCACAACAGCCAAAGGUGCUUUUGCAGUACAGGAGGAUGAAAUACAUCGUUGCUGCAGUGCUGCCACAUGUUGUGGUCACCAUGGUUUGUCUACCUUACGUGGUUCAUGUCAGAACUGUAAUUUUAAAUAGCAGCUUCCUAGCUUUUAAGGUCUUUAGCUUCAUCUUCUCUUUUCACCAGCAAACCUGAACAGUCACUUUUCUUUGUCUUGCAUGCUCAUACGAUUUUGUUGAGAAUGGGCAUCAACAAGAAACUAGUUUCAGUUGCAGUGUUACCACCAUAAACAUGGCUACAUGAGCAAAGUUACUGCAGGAUAUAAAGCCUUAGAACAAGCAUGCAAACAAACUGAUGCCUGGGGAGGAAAGUACCUCAUCCCCAUUAAGUAUCUGCUCUGGUUUCAGCUUGUUUAAGUAGUCUCAGCGUUCAUUCUUUUUUCUGUGGCAGCUGAAGUAUUCUGAGAUCAUCCUGCCCAUGGCACGGAGCAUCGGGAAACAGGGAUUCUCAGUUCCCAGGCUGGAACUGCAGCAUGGCAAAGAAUUUGCAGUAUGGCAAAGAAGAGUCUGCCAUCCAAACAUCCAGAGCCGAUGCAAAUGGCAAAGGAAAGAGCUCAACUGCUCUUAAUGAUGCUUCUGGCAACCACACUGGACUUGUUUCUCACUUCACUGCUUCUUAUCCUCUCUUAAACAGUAUAACCAUCGCAGCUGUCAGCUGGGAGGAUGAUAGUGCCUCAAGAGUAGGAAGCAGUUAUUGCUGUUCCUUUCUCUUUGCAUGAAGAAAAGAGGGGAGAAUGUGGCCAGAGAAGUGUUUGAUUUGAGGAGCCUCAACCUUGAGUGUAGCAUGAGGGCGACUUUCAGUUUGCAUCACUUGCAGAGUCCGUGCUAAAUAAUGCAAGACCUGGGCAUGCAAAAAUGCUGGGUGUGAUGGAGGAGGAGGAGGGAGUGGUAACCAAACAAUUCUGUGAGAUCCAUCUAUAGGAGAUAAGAUCCUUAAGAGAGAGUGUGGUAAAACAAAGCUGAGUCUUACAGGAGGGAUGGCCUGUGCUGCCAAGUUCCUGCUUUGCAACUCUGAAAUGAAGAGCACAGUUGGGGAGCUGAGUGUCCAUAAAGUACAGGCUUUGUUCAGGAGGCAAACUGAGCAUCUCUUCUUUAAUGUGUGCAUGUCAGAGGGUGAAUGGAGCCCCUCCUGCAGUGUGGGUGGCUUUGCAGCGGCCCACGGGGGCAACAGUGAGCAACAGUGCAACAGUGAUGAACUGAGUACAGCACCCUGAGGAGCCUCGUUCCAUUAGAAGCAGAGCACUGCUCUACAUGUGGCACAAAGAUGCUGCUUGCCCAUGGUCCUGUAAAUACUGUUUGCAGCGCUAGGUGUGAGUGUAUAGGAGACAAGUGGGUUUUAGUGGGAUUUCUUGAGCAAUUCUUAUGUGAAAGAUUUGGAUUUCUACUUGGUGGUAGCUGAUGUACUUUGAGCUGCCUACCUGCUGCUUUCUUCCCAACGGUUGGCUUGUCUCCUAUGUUUGUAUAUGUGCUACAGCAUGGGCACAGUGUGCUAUGAAGUGCCUGCUGCAGUGGAGUCCUGAACCUAGCAGCCUGAGCUGCUACGAAAGCAGCUUUGCCCAGUGGAGUGCCUUCUGAUGGCAAAAUCCUCACUGUUGGUCUGAAAUACUCAUAGGUUUGUGUUGGGCUUUGAUGUUCCAGCUGUAAAUCCAGAGUGGGCAGCUACAAAUCUGACCUCAGUGAAGUUGCCCUGCAUGCUCCAGCUGGGCUGAAGUUGGCCCACCUGGUGCUAUGCAGUAUUUGUGUUCCAUGAAACAAGGAUCCCCUCACUGAUUUAAGCCUUUCCAGGGACUUGAGGUUGUUAAGCUGGUAAGACUUUCCUCCUUUUCCACAUUGCUCUGCCACUCAUUGAGGAUGACCUUCUCACCAUCCCUUUUGACUUUGAGCUUGCUGCUUCUCUCAAGUCCUCCUCUGACCCUUUGCAAGCCAAGCACAGCAUGUUUGUAUUGCUGUAGUGCUUAAAAGCUGUUCUCACAGGUUGUUCCAUCUCUCUCUAAGCUUUCAGUACUCAUUUCUCCUGCCAGUGCCUUGUGUAACUCUCCCUAUGCCAACACUGUUGGCUCCAUGGGUGAAUUUCCUUAUGCUAGAUAAUUUGGAAUAAGCUUGUGACAGAAGAAUUCCACUCUAAAAUGCACUUUACUCCUGCAUCGCCUUUCAUCUGAUUUUGUGGCUGAUGGGGUUUGCUGGAGUGAAAGUCAUGCUGCUAGCAUGUGUUUUGUUUGCAGAUUAAGGCUAUCCUGCACCCAGACAGGACUCUUUCAUUUAAUGUGUAUGGGCAGGGGGCACUCAGGCUGCAAGCAGGUUUAGUACUUCAGCUUCCAGGUCAGUGAGUUUUUUGUCUCAUUUGUGUCAGCAAACAGCAGCCCUUUGUUCAGCAUCAUAACCUUUUCUGCCUCAGCGACACGCUCACGCACACAUAUGUGAUGCAGAUCCUGAAUCGUGCAAUAAACUCCACGGAUAAGUUCCAUAAGGCCAGCAAAGACAUCAUCUGUCUUACUUCAAGGGUCAACUGCGUGCCUUACUGACCAGUGUUGAAGCCAAGAUUGUGGAGGCAGUUAAUUAUUCAUUUGUUUUGGCUUUUCCAUCCAUCAUUGCCUAUGUGGGAAGGAAAAGGGGAAUAGAUAGUGAGUGAAGUGUUUGUCUUUGACCUGGUUGCCUUUGUCGCUUGUAAAAAUCAGGAUAAAUAAAUUAGUUAAGUAUUAUUUAAUUUAGCCACUGAGUAACAUUGUUACUAAGAAGAGCCAGGAUGAGGACACCAGGAUAGGUCAUGGGCACUAAAAUUGAAAGAUGAACGCAUCUGGCUGUUGCUGGUACCCUGAUGGCACAGGAACUGCUUGCAGCCCCAGGUCUUUGACAGCUGGUGCCUGCUAGCACCCUCCUCUUCUCCUGCAGAGCUUGGAAAAGCAAGAAGCACCUGGGAGGCACCAUCCUGCUGCUGAUGGUGUGCCCAUUCUCAUGGAGCCCUCUAGGAGAUAUCUCAGUGCUGAAGAAAGCUAUGUGGGCCCCUCGAGCAUCCCAGUGUUUGUCCUGCACAGGAGCAUGACGCUUUUCCUUCAGGAGCUGACCUGCUGCUUUUCUGGCCAAAGAGGCAAGGCAGCCCCUUUUUCUGUGCUCUUCUGACCCAGCAGUGCCUUACUCCUCCACCAAAACUGCACUCAGUCCUGGUGCGCUCACACCUGGCUGGGCCUGCCCUCCUGCAUCCUUGCUGUUUGUGCUGUGGGGCCUUGCAGAAUUCCCUCCAUCCUGAUCCUCUUGUGAUUUGUCCCUAACAAAAAAGCCCUGCUCGGUCUUCUCAGAAUUACCACACAUUGCCCUAACUCAGAACUGCUAUUGCCUGGCAAGUUCUGACAUUGUGAAGCUUGCUUUUCUUUUUUUUUCCUUUCUUUAAUCAGAAUUAAUUUGUUUAUUUUUUAGAUUUCCCACGAGAACGCUAUGUCCCAGAUUUUGAUUUUAGAAAUGCUUUGCUCUGUGAUUUCUGAAUUUUCAUUUUGAAUUAUAUCCAUUUUAAGUUGUUGUACUACUUACGGACUGCUGAUUUGCGAAGUAUACACUAAUAGUCAUAGUAUGUGUGCUGUAUAGGAAAACAUUCUUUUGACUGAUAAGAUCAGCUGCUACUUAGUUUGGAUUGAAACUUCUUAUCUUAUUCCCUAGAACAGGAAGUCCAUUGUUUGCAAAGUAAUGAAAGCCUGACAAUGCCAUUAUAACACUCAGGAGCGCCUUAAUCUAAGGCGGCAGGUAAUAUUUUGUUCUCUAGUAUGAUGCAAUUCAUCUAAUCAUCUUAAAAAAGAUGAAAUAUUUCACAGCUACUGUCAUGUUAGGGCAAGGCAGUAAUGAUAUAUGUGGUAUAAAAACCUCUAGGAUAAAACGUGCAAUUUGGAAGUUCUGAAAUAGAGCUUCUAAGCUGCCAGAAGCAGAGCUGUUCCAAAUAGCUUUGGCAAGAACGUUUUUAUCAAUGUUAUAAAAUCAAACAAAUAUCUUCUUAAAAGAAGCUUUUCCCAACAGAAUGCUCUGGAGGUGCUUUUUUACUAGUUGCCUCUCUGUCGCUGUGAAGGUAGUGAGUAUUUGUUAUGCUUCUUUGCACUGUGAGUACAGAAGACUUAGCUUUCUCAUCAGGACUCAAACCCAAGUCUCCAUAUUGAAAGUCCUAAAAAUUCCUUCUUUGCACGAGCUACUCAUCACUGGCUCCCACACAGGAGCAUGCUGUUCAAGCAGCUGCCAUCUUUGCUGCCUCUCACACGGGGAAAGGACAACGUGCACUUGCUGCUGGGCCCCUGCCAUCCCUCUGCUCCCUCUGCACUGGGGAAAUGGCAGAUGUAGUCAGGCCUCUUUCUCUUUUCCAAGGUGCUGCCCAAACAAGCAAUACAAAUGUGUUCAGUAAAACAGGGAAGGCCGGAGCAGGGGUGAUAGCAUAUGUUAACUUGGAGGCUGAAGCAUUAUCAGCUCAGUAGUUUCCUUUCCUGUCGCACUUUGCAUUGUGAUGUGAUGCGUAGCGGGUGAGCUUCUGUUGCUCAUGUGGAGGAGUGUUUCUCUGGUUGCCUUUCUGCAGUCAUCACUGCAGACAGCAGUCGGAGGCCACAGGUUGGGAAACAAAAUUGUAGCGUGGCUCACAGCACAGGUGAAAACUUUAUCAAUCUCAAAUGAAAUACAUGAGGUUGUUAUGCCACAUAGUUAAAACAAACUGAUACUGUAGAGACAGAUUACUUGUUUGUUUUAAGCAAACAUGUUUGCUUUGGGACUAGCAUCCACAGUGGAUGAGCAGUUCUGUGCUGUGGCAAGGUGAAGGAUCACAGUGACAAUGCAGAUUUUUCAUGGCAGUCCAUACACAAUCCGGACGUCAAUAGUUACAGGAUAUAAAGUAUUCAGCAGAGAAGCAGGAGAUGGUUAGCAGUAUGCUGCCCAAACUGGUCUGCCUGUAGCAAGAUCAAGCUGCCAUGUUCACCCACAAUGCACCAAUUUAAAGACUACUUUUAUUUUUAUUAUUGGUAUCAUUGAAAAAAACCCAUACCUAAACCAGCCCAGAGAAUCUGCCUGUUAUGCUUUGCAGCCUUAAGGCUAUUAUUACUGCAAGGAUCUGGGAGCAGCACAUGAGUGUAGGGUAUGAGGGCACUUCUUGAAACUGUGCCACUGAAAUAGCACUGGGCAAGUUCCUAUGAGUGUGCUCAUCUGAUUUUUAUGUGCACAAGACAACAAGAUGUCGGCAUUUGCCUCAGUUCGCAGAACUAGAUUGAGGUUUGGAGAACGGAGGAAUUCUUUGUUCCCUAAGGUAAGGUCUGGGUUUAGCUACAUUCAAAUUGAUUCUUUAUGCAGGUAUGAGAGUGCCUUUGCUUGUUAUUAAUCUGUAUUCUGUGUGCCAUUUUUGCUGUCUGAGUUUGUGCUCAAAGCGAGCCUUGGAAAGACCAGGCUAAAGGCUGUGAUCCAAGAGACAUUGUAGCUCAGGUUGCAGUACCAGAAGCUGCAGGGAAGCCUCAGGGUAAUGAAGUCAGCAGGAAUUUUUUGCCCGUGAGUAGGGAGCUGGUGAUUCAUUCAUAGGAAUGCCUGAGGAGAAGUGGCCCACAUGAAGAAAAGAACGUCCCCGUUGUUCAUGGCAACUAGGGAGCUUCAGUGGAUGUAUCUGGCCAUUUGGGAUGGGUGGUUCAGCUGCAUCUUGGAGCUUUGGAGUCUGGUUAAAGGCUGUGUAGUUCUGAGUAGGACAGAGGUCUUAGGUUUGGAGCCCUGAUGGAGCUUCAGUCCUGGCGCUGCUGGCUGACUUAAGGAAGGGGCAGGCAAUCGGCAGUGAGCAGAAAAGCCUACCAGCAGAGAAAGAAGGCCAAGGAAGAAUGGGAUCAGGGGAAUCUUCUGUGAGUCUGCUGGCUUCAAAGUCAGGGAGCAGAGCAGUACAACUAGUCCACAGUGUGGGAGCCCUGUGUGAGCACAGAGAGGCCGGGACUGAGUGUGGGCAGCAGCUGGGGGCCAUGUGUGUCCUCAGCCCACACAGAAACCAUCUGCCUGAGAUGCCUGCAGGGGAGAGAGCAGGGAAAGAGCUGGGUGCUAUGGAGGCAGCUGGGCAGCAGGGGAACUUAGAUACUGAUAAGAGUAAGUAUGGUGGAGUAUUGGGGUGGAGGAGUAUUGGGGCCGAUAUGUUUGCAGGGAUAGUUUCAAGGAGACUGUCCUGGUACAAACAGGAAGGUUUAAGACCAAGAUUCAAGAGUGCCAGGAACACUGUGUAUGGUUCUGUCAGAAAAGAAUGCUUACAUAGGAGCAGGUGCAGAACAGGGCUCAGAGGUUGAGUAAGGGCCAGAAAGCUCAGCAGAUGAGAGAAAACUAAAAGAGAUCAGUUUGUUUUGCUUAGCAAAACAAAGACUGGAAGAGGAAUGUGAUGUCUGUCUGUAAACACUUCAUUGCAAAGUAAAUACUAGAGGGGAAGGAGAGGUCUUUUAUAAUAAAGAUCAAUACUGGCACAAGGACAAAUUGGUACAAAUUUGCUAUUAAUAAACUUAGCCUGAAAAUUAGAUUUUGAGCCAUUAGAGGAGUGAGAUUCAAGAGCAGUGUCUCAAAAGGAGAAAUGGAAACUGAAGGAACCUGAAAAGCCUGCAGGAGCAAAGAAGUCAGAGAGAAAAUUAAACCUGUGACGCAUUCUCAUUCUGUUUUAUGCAUGCCAGUGCUAUAGACGGCCCAAUCCCAAGGGCUGGGCAGGAGAGCAAGUUGCAGCAGUCAGCAGCCGUAAUGGAGAAUCAACAGCCAAGUUACAAGUCAACUGCAGGACAAGAGGAGUUUCAGGGUAGCUGAGCUGUGCAGAUAGGCAGCUUUGGCUGUAUCCCAGUGUUUACGUACAGAGACUUCACCAAAUUGACUAAGGGUAGGGCCGUCUGACAGCAUCUUGCAGAAGCAAAUCCUGUGGAGUAGGAUGCUAUUGUAAGCCUUCCCUCUCCACUUCCCAGCUGCUGCCAUUUUCUGUUCCCUUCUGGCACAGAUCUGUGUUAUGGCUGUAGUAGGGUAGCUUUGUCUCUGUGUGCAUCAUUCCUUAUAUGCUAUAUCUCUGUGUAUUUCUUUUCAUUAAAGAUUAAAAUAUGUUCUAGGGCAUGUUUGAGGAAUGCCUACAAUUUUGGUGGAAACUUUCCAAGACAGCUUUUAGACAUGAAAUUGCAAAAGGAAGUUUAGCAGAACUGCCUUUGUCAGAGGAGGUACUAGGACCCUUUUGCAAACCGUCUUGGUUAGGUUUGCUUGGAAUUGCAGGAAAAUGUUUUGGUUGAGAGAAAAUGAAGUCAUUUCUUGGGAUUGUUUUCACAACUGCUUUGUUGCCCUGGGUCAGAGCUGAGGACUGCUCACCUAUAAGGCAAGCUGAAGUUUUCAAGCUAGAAAAUGAGAGGAAAAUGCAAUUAGAUAAGCCAAAAAUCAACUAACUAAAACAAAAUCUUCAACCCUUGGUGGUAGUAUAUGGAAAGGUAUUCCUAGAAAUGGCAACAGUUUGGAAUUAAGAAUGCCAGAAGAAAACAAUAAUUAGAUGUUACUGGACAGAAGCGUGAAUGAAAGGAGUAGAAGAGCAUGCAGAGCAAGUAUCUUUUUCAGCUCAUAAUGAGACAUGAACAUUCAGGCAGAGAAACAAUUGACUUCCCCUUCCUUCUGGCUGCAGAUCUGGAGAGCGUUGGAAAGUGAUGGGCGAAAGCUGGAGGAGCACUGUUGCCUGUCUGGAAAAAGAAAAAGUUUCUCCUCUGUAAUUUGCCAUAGUAUCCAUGGUGUAGCUCUGCUGAGUUUGCUUUUGCAUAGCAUUUUACUGUUACUAAUAGACUUCAGUUAUUUGUUCCCCUGCAUGAUCCUGUGAUCCUGGCUUGGCAGUAAAACUAAGCAGAGCAUUGGAAGGCUGCCAUUAAUGGAUGGAGUCAAUGCAUUGGAAGGAUAUGAUGAGUGUAAAGAUUCCAUUUCCCAGAACCGGCUCAUCUGAUGAUGUGAAAUGUCACAGGUCUUUCAGAAGUGGCCGGUUUCCCUUGCCUGCAGCUCGUUAAAGCAUAUGGGUCUUAGAUUUUCCAGUGGUCAUGGACCAACAGGGAAUUUUGGUAAGGAGAAGGGAAACCUUGAAGGACUAACACAAGUGUGAUCUGCAGGUAACAGAUUUCCUUUCUCUCCUUUUCCUGCAAUAUCUGAAGAAUGAAGUUAGAGACUCCUUAUUUCAUAAAGACAAAAUUUUUGUGCUGGGUUGUCCAAAUCUGUUCAGUUACAAGUAUACCUCUGUUCCAGGCUGCCUGAGGAUGUUUGCCUGAGCAUUAUGAGGUAUUUGGAAGUAGCCUACCUAUAUGCUGAGUACCUCCACAAUCUUCUCUCUUGGUGAAUAGAGGAGAUUAAAGCAGCCAAGUGCUGCUCACUAAGAAAAUAAAAGACUCGAGAACCAUCAUAUGACUCUUCUUCUGAGAACUUCCGCACAUUCUCUUGUGCGUUCUGUAUCAGUUUAACAUAGGAGAUGGUCUGUACAGGGGAGAGUCCAAACCAACUUCUACUUCUUUCAUUUGCUUUCCUUCCUCUGCCAUUCUUCCUUUUCUUUCCCUCACAGCUUCAGUGAAACCAAAUACGUUUCAUCUUUCCCUUUACCUGUGCCGGCAGUGAGGGUCAUUGCUAAGAGGUGGUUCUUAAGGCUUCCCAGCUCUUGCUGCAUUGACUUCAGUCUGGCCAUAGGUAAUGAGAUGUGAAGUAUGUGAAUCCCACAGAGAGUGCAUGUGAGCUCAGACAGAAGGAAGUGGUUGAAUUUGGAAUGUGUUGCAGGAGAUGCAUUGAAAAAUCUAGCUAGAAUUUCCCUGUAAUGUGAAUGCUCCUAUUCAUGGUUGUCAAGAUUUUUCCAUUAAAAGAAUAAAAUCCCUGCAAUGCAUUACAGGUCUUUAUCUGAGAAGUUACGUUCCCUCCUCCUGGCUUAUUUAGGGCAUCAGAACAACUCUAAUAAAGGAGGCACCCCAUCUCCUGUCCUAACCUCCUAGCACCCACUCCUGUCUCCGCAAUUAGCUUGGCAGCUGGGGUUGUUCUUCGUGCCGAUGCGACAUGUUCACUUGCGCUGACGUGGUUUCCUGCUGCCGUGAAGGAAAAGGUUAAGGACUAAAAGCAGCUCUGCCAUCAUCCAUAAGGCAUGAGGAGCCUGGUGCCGCUCCUGCCCUGCGGAAUUCCAUUACCUGAUGGGCUGGACCUUGCGGCCUUCCCUGAAAGACAAUCCAGUUCCAGGAACUUAUAAAUACCCUUUGGUAAGGCGGAUGGGGAGCGCGGUAGGACAGAACGCGGUGUGUCCCUGUGAAUUGGUUCAGAAGCAAGUGCUGUGAGCCUGUUCUUGAACUAAAUUACAGUUGGUGCAAAAUAGAGUACGCCAACAAGCAAACCUUGGCAGUUUGGAUGUGGAAGGCCUCCCAUGCUCAGAAAUGUUCAACCACUGCUUGUGGUUUCAUUGUGUGGAUGCAACAGAUGAGGCAGAUUGUGUUAGAGGAUAGAUUAAUAAAAUGAGGAAGAAGGUCUGCAGGAAGUGGGGAUUACCCUCUUUCCCCUUCCCUGGCUAGGUUCUGUUUUCUACAGUCUUUGUAGAACAGUGUGAUGCCUCGCCAGCUAUUGAGGUAGAUUUAACAUUUAAUGUCCACAUCUCUAGCUAGGAUUAUGAAGAGUGCUACCUCUUUUUAACAUUUGAAUGCAAGGGUGUCUGCAUUCUGCUGCCCAAAGUUUAAAUUUAGACGUAGCUGAAUAUUUGGGGAAGAGGAAGAAGGGGAGGCUGAUGUGAUGCAGAAUUCUGUAUUCAAGGCAGUAGUGCCAGGCCUUGUUGAGGGAAUCCACGUGAAGGAGGCUAACAUCGUGCAGUGCCCUGAGAAGACCCAUACAAACCAGGAACUACACUGAUAUUGCUGCUACUUGUCCUCUUCAGUCUCUUUCUUCUGUGCUGCCACUGGCCAGGAGGAGCAAUGCUAAACUAUUCCUGCAAGUGGUGAGACAUGCGCUUUUCAUUUCACGGGGUCAGAGAAAGAGAAGGUGUGAAAGUGAAGUUUAGCUGCAAAUACACUGUAUCACGGUGAUAGGGGCUUCUCUUCUGACCUGUUAGUAUGAAGGUGUAGUGCUUCUCAUUUUAAGAACUUUUCCAGAGUGCUUUAUAGCUUUACCGUGCUUGACCCAUUCAGAUGGACACCUGUAGGAAGCAUCUGAAACGCAACACACAGUUUCACAACCUUGAUCCACAACACACCUGUAGUUUUCCACCUGAAAUCCUGAUGCUGCUGGGAGGAGCUGAUGGGAUCGUGACUCAUGGCAAGUGACUCAUGGCCUGCCUGCCCCACUGGGAUAAAAUCCCUGCAGAGAGGGUUUGAAGGAUCACCUGCUUUGAUCACACGGGCUCACAUGGAGGCUUGUCUCUAACCUUCUGUCUCUGUUGACAGACAUCUCAUUUGGAGGCGGCUGCUCACAUCCUGCUCACGGCCUUUGCAGCGAUGUUAGCAGAAGGAUCUCCAAGAGAUGAAUUUGUAACACGCUAUGGCCUAGGUUUAGGCUUAGUAUCAAGUAGUUUGGGUUCUAUGUUUUGUUCUCUGAAGUGACGUCAAAAACAUGACCAAGUUAUUUGGAAGUAUUCUGUUUCUAAAAUCUGUUGGGUUCUGCCACUGCUCUGUGCUCCUGCCUGGAGCACCCAGAAUAGUUUGGGCUCAGGCCUGGCUUGCAGUAGCGCAAAACUCUCUGGCAGAGUACAGGUGUCUCGAUGUGGGUAUGAAUUAAUUUUUCACUGCUCUGAGCUCCUUCCCUCACUGGCAGGGUAGCAGAGAGGCACAGUGACACAAGGAAGAUGCAAACGGAUCAGUUCUAAUUAGUACGACAGUGCUGAUGAGGCUGAAACUUGUGCUGACAAAAUGGGGCUGUAUUAACUUUGCACUGAUUUAUUCCAAAUUUAAGCACUGUUUGUUCCCAUGCAAGCAAGGAGGAAGUGGAGAAUUAUGCUUAAUAUUCAUUUUCAGCAUUGCAGUUAAUUGUGAAGUUCUCUGAAACAUGAAUAUAUUUCCUUUCCUAGCGUUUCCCCUUCUGUUAAACUAAAUCUAAGUUAAACCAUUGAUUUCCUAUCGGUUUUGACUAAAAAAGGCCAUUCUUCACAGUAACAUUGUCUUCCCUUUCUAGUUGAAUUGAUUGUGUAUUAAUGCUGAUUUGUAAUCUGAGCAGUGCAUUUCGUGUUGCAUUUAACUGUAACAUGGUUGUUGCAACUUCAAUCAUUCGGCGCUCUGUUUAUCUGUAUAAAGAUAUCUAUAGUAUCUGUUCCUCAGCCUGGUUCAGACUUGCAGGGGGUUUUUAUGUUUGUUAGACAGCUGAGAUGAGCAUUUUUAUUCUUUCUCAUAGGAGAUACAGAAGCAGAAGAUGAGAGCAUAUGAAAAAAUAAUAUGCUCAAGUACAAGUUUUUAAAUAAGAAAAAAUUGUACGAGGUUCACAGUAAUCUAGUUUACAGUAGGGCAUGAAAAUGGGCACUGUGAAAGCUUUGGUGAAGGAGUAGUCCCUGCAGACAAAAGUAAACAGGUGCAAGGGUUGUAUGGCAAGGUUACCAGGUUCUAUUCUGUGGCAGUGGAAUGGCAAUAUAUGCAUGCAGCUUCUUCUCAUUAAGUAACAUUGCUGGCUUUUUAGGCAAGCAUGUUUUGUUUAGAAGGGCAGUCCCAGGUUUCAAGUAUUACCUCAGAUACCUGUGAUGAAAUGAAGACCUUUAAGCUCCUUACUACCCGUCUUAGUAGAAAUUAAAUAUUGUGGCCCUAUAAACUUGAGCACUCAUUCUUAUGUGAAGUGAGCAGUGCUGUGAUUUACCAUCACUUGUGAAAACAUCCCGAUUCUCAUUUGGUCUGGUGUUGUUUUACUUUCAUAGCUUGAAAGAUGCACUGAGACAUAAAACCAGGAGGGCUUUACAUCGUGUCUAUUUUCCAAGAAGGAACCUUCCCAUGCUGCAGGAUGCAAUGUGUUCUGUGGCCUUGGGAUGCACAGAGCUGAAACUCCUCCACAGCAAGCGAUUGCCUGCAGCCCGAGCCCUUCCUGCCCUCGUGUCCAUGUGUAGCAGCCCCUGCUCUGUGCCACCAGAGACACCUGCAGGCAAGCAGCCUGUGGCUUGGCUUGGCUUGGCUUGCCAACCUGAGCUCUGUUUGAGCAGUAGGGUCACAUCCGUAGGGUGAGGAUUAAACAGGGAAGCGAGGGAAGGCAAAGCACCUGAGCACAGCAAGGCUUGUAGGACUUGUAAAGAUGGGAAAACUUCUGCUGUCUUUUUGAGGUUGAUCAGCCUCCACGAGAGCAGACAGCAUGACCCUCCGCUGGCUCAGGAAGCCGUGCUGUGCACAGAACCUUUGUGGUGGCCAGGAGGCAUGGCGUGCAGCAGGGCUGUGGUGAAGAAAACACUUACUGAACCUGGCAGCAAGCACAUAGCUUGUCUUGGUGUGCCAGCUCUGCGGAGGAGGGAACCGCUCUUCACUUUGUUCAAGAAGUUUGACCUCUUAGGGCCACACUGAAGGGGACAGCGCAAGCCAGAGGCUGGUUCCAAAAGCGGCGUGCUUUCUGUUUCAUGCUUCAACAGCAGGAUCUUACCUUUGGGAUGGCCCCAGGUCCUGGUUCCCUGUGAGCUCCUGCAAGGAUAGGAGCUGCUGCCUCACCCAGGAGCAAGUGCUUCACUGCUCCCUCCUUGAGGAAGAAGCAAGAAGCUGUCCUGGCUUUCAGAAUGCGCAGUGUCCAUUGCCUGCGCCAUACAGCAAGCUGCAAUGCAGUCAUCCAUACCCGCCAGUCAAGAGCUCUAUAAAAAUGCAGAAGCAGGCAGUGAACACGGAACUGCUGAAAAUACGUGCAAUUGCCAUGGAGAAAGGAGCAGAAAGAAUGUUAAACUCUUGAUUAACAGAACAAGUAGAUCAAGACCUUUGCCUCUGGUCUUUGACGAAACAGUAGAAGAAGUUUGGUGGAGACGUGGAAUAUAAGCCUAGGCACCUGGGAGGCACUGGGUACUCCAGGAGAGCAGUCUGGGUGCUGACACGGGUGCAAGUCAGAGCCAGGCUGGAUGUGCCUUACUUUCACCAUUUACCCCUGAGGAAGUUCCUGUUCUGAGAAGUUCAGUUGGGUGUCAGCUUCCACCCGAGUCAAUGUAAGAAACAAAGGCUGCACAGGGAUUGCUGUUCUGCUUAUCAGUCUUGUGCAGAAUUAGUUAAAAAAAAUAUAUGAAUCAUUUUUUUUUUUUCUGAAAGAAGACAUUCCCAAAGAAUGGGACGAUCUAUUUUUUGCUUUCUUUAAAACAGUUUGGUGGUGUGAAGGGAGCCGCAGUGGUGUGCGGGCCAGGGUAGUCUCAUCCUGGGGCUGUGAACUCACUUGAGGAAAAAGGAGAGCGGAAUGUCAGGAGCACCAAAGGGUCUGCGCAAUGCGGCCUCCUCCCCGCCGCCCUCCUUCCUGCCCCUCCUCUGCCUUCAUCGCCCACGGAGCGAGGCCCAGUGCUUCUAGGAAGAGCUCGGCCGAGUCAGCAGCCGCCAGUUCUGGGAAGCGCGGCCCCGGGCCCCAUGGGAUGCUUCAGGGAAUUCUUGUUGCCCUUCCAAGGAUGGCAAAGAGCUCGUCCAGUGACCUGGGGCUCCCCAGCAGCAGGGGCAAGAGCUUGGAGUCACGCCAUGGAGCUGGAAACAUUCCCGGAGGCAGAAGGGCCUGAAGAUUUAUGCCCCGCUCCAAACUGUACUACAGUACGUUGUUUGGCUUCUUGGGGGAGCAGGAGAAAGAGUUUGCUACACAGGAGAUACCAGUGGUGACCACAGGAAUUUAAAAAAGGGAUAUGGAGUUAAAAGGUCAAAAUUUCCCGCCAUCAGUCAUCGGCUCCUUGGUAGAGCGAAGAGGGUGCCAAGGGCCCAGACAGGGAUUUCUGGGCCCAGUAACCUCCCACAACCACAUGAUCUUGGAUAAAUGAGACGAGGAGCCAUAAAUCAGGGCUGAGGCUGCCUUGGGCUCCGUCCCACACGUUCCGCUCCCAUCCAUCAUUUGCCUGCUCCGCGCUCAGCCCUGCUCCAGGUUCUCUCCUCCCAAGGGAGCCAACAGGAACUUUUCUUCCGAAGCCUGCAACGCUUCUAAGGAAAGUGCUCAGCAUGACACUGACAAAUUAAUGUUAUUUCUGCUACCCAUUCGCAAGAUAAAAAUUAUUCCAACCACUGCUGGCAGCCUGGGAGGAGUGAGUUUCUCACAGCACUAUUUCAGUGCAUCUUUGCCGUGCAGUUGCUGACUUGCCCUGGGUUGGCUUCCAAUUAACAGAGGUCUGAGGGGAGCAAAUUUUGAAACGAGAUAUUGGCUUCUAAGGUACUUUAAUAAGUCUCUGUAGCAAUGCUGCAGGCUGCAGAUAGUGCCUGUUUUUUCUAUUUUUUGCAUGUGACACUCACAGAGGGGUGGCUUUCCUGGAAGGCGAGGCAUAGCAUGUCGUCUCCAGGGGCUGUUCCUUGAGUGCUGUCAGCCUUGCCCUGGAUGGAGUAGCAAGUUUUCUCUUUGCUUUCACAUGUAAUACCUUUCUAAAGGAUCAGCAAACAAACCUCUUUCUUCCAACAUAUUCAUUGUGAUUCUGCUUCUAGGCUCGGUCAGAAUUUGUGCUACUGCUUUUCUACCUUCCUCUGUUCUAUUGUUUUGGGUUUUUUUUUCAUGUAUAUUUUUCCACUGUGAAGAAACUUCCACCAAAUGACAGCUAGCAAAAUCUUUUCAGCACGACUAUGCCUGAGGGCACGUGUGUUUGGGAAGGGGCAUAUGCUGGUCUUCAGGAGCAGUGGGGGCAGCAGCUAUUCUUGCUCAUCAUGUUAAAACCUUAAUAGAUCCACAGGAUUAUGCUGCUGGAGUAGCUCUUCCAUCAAAGCCAUAGCAACUUCCUUGCUGGCUUUUAUUUUCUUUGUCUACUAGAUGUAUUCGGUUUCCAUGAGCAACUAAUUAAAAUGCAGAAGAGUAGCUCUUUAUUAAGGUUUUAUUACCAUUUAAUUUGCUUUUCAGUUUUCAGUAAGAGAUCAAAAAGCUUAGCUCUUUCCUAGAAAGCCAACAGAAGGCUGGCGGUGCUGCGCCAGGAUACUCUCCCUCUAACCACUUUACGUGCUCAGUGAAGACUAGACACAGACCCCUACAAGGGGACGACACGAUGUGGCUGAGUGCCAGGGACAAGAGCAGGACCCAAGCAUCUCCUGGUGCCAGUGAGCAUCCUUCCUGCCUGGAGCAUGGAUCCUGCACACUUCUCACUCACCUGAAGCACUGAAAUCCUGAAACCAAGCCCUGCCGAGUCCUCCCUCCCUCAACCCAUUCCCUAUGUGCACUGAUUCCUCCCUCGUGUGCUUGUAUACCCCAAGGAUGAGUGCUAGAUAGAGAAAAAUUUCUUAUCACAGCUUCUGUAGGGUCUCCUGAGUCUCUGCUGGUGUGUGUUUGACGUGGGUGCUGAUGGAAAUGUAUGCAUAUUGCAGCUGUCUUUCUGAGAUUGCCCAUAGACUCUUCCCAUGGAAGAGUCUUUCUCUCUCCUUUCUCUCCUAACAGAUUCAGUUUAUUUUCAGUUAUCCUUCAGUGGUAAACCUCGAGGGAUGGAGGAAGAGCACAUUUGUGUUGUCUAUAGGUACUUUCCUUUAAUGGAGUUAUUCCCUGGCUUUUUAGAGUGUCCUCUCUUGCCUGAACACAGCUAGGACAGCACAAGGAGCCUUUUCUUUCAUGCCUCCAGUUUUCUUUUCUUCACCAAAUAUUCAUUUUUGGAUGCACGCACAUGCUUAAAAUUAGACAGCACUCCUUGUCUUUGUGACUUGUUGCUUUGCUGCAGUGAAGAGACAGGAUGGAACUGAGGAAAGCCAAGAAAUUCUAUACCAAGUAAAGAAAAAAAAAAAAGAAAUCGUUAUUGUUUCUGUCUUUCCAUUAGUGUCACUGGCAUAAAUAGGUGCGCUCAGUUGUAUGCAACAUCAGCUGCUGCUGUUCAUGUGGGCAGAACCUGCGUUUCAGAUGGUACUUGUACAGCAAUUCACUUGUCUGCUUAUGGACUCUUGAGGAAUUCUUGGUGAAUGCAAUGUCACAUUUACUAUUUACUAAAAGGAAAGCUUCCUUUUAGGAAAGCUUGCAUA